rnacentral:rRNA from 1 species
GGCGGCAUGCCUAACACAUGCAAGUCGAACGAAGCCUUCGGGUUUAGUGGCGCACGGGUGCGUAACGCGUGGGAAUCUGCCCCUUGGUUCGGAAUAACAGUUGGAACCGACUGCUAAUACCGGAUGAUGACGUAAGUCCAAAGAUUUAUCGCCGAGGGAUAAGCCCGCGUAGGAUUAGGUAGUUGGUGUGGUAAAGGCGCACCAAGCCGACGAUCCUUAGCUGGUCUGAGAGGAUGAUCAGCCACACUGGGACUGAGACACGGCCCAGACUCCUACGGGAGGCAGCAGUGGGGAAUAUUGGACAAUGGGCGAAAGCCUGAUCCAGCAAUGCCGCGUGAGUGAUGAAGGCCUUAGGGUUGUAAAGCUCUUUUACCCGGGAUGAUAAUGACAGUACCGGGAGAAUAAGCUCCGGCUAACUCCGUGCCAGCAGCCGCGGUAAUACGGAGGGAGCUAGCGUUAUUCGGAAUUACUGGGCGUAAAGCGCACGUAGGCGGCUUUGUAAGUAAGAGGUGAAAGCCCAGAGCUCAACUCUGGAAUUGCCUUUUAGACUGCAUCGCUUGAAUCAUGGAGAGGUCAGUG